rnacentral:rRNA from 1 species
CCUACGGGUGGCAGCAGUGGGGAAUAUUGCACAAUGGGGGCAACCCUGAUGCAGCGACGCCGCGUGAGUGAAGAAGUAUUUCGGUAUGUAAAGCUCUAUCAGCAGGGAAGAAGAUGACGGUACCUGACUAAGAACACCCGGCUAACUACGUGCCAGCAGCCGCGGUAAUACGUAGGGGGCAAGCGUUAGCCGGAUUUACUGGGUGUAAAGGGAGCGUAGACGGUGAUGCAAGUCUGGAGUGAAAGCCCGGGGCUCAACCCCGGGACUGCGUUUGAAACUGGGUGACUGGAGUGCAGGAGAGGUAAGCGGAAGUCCUGGUGUAGCGGUGAAAUGCGUAGAUAGCAGGAGGAACACCAGUGGCGAAGGCGGCUUACUGGACUGUAACUGAUGUUGAGGCUCGAAAGCGUGGGGAGCAAACAGGAUUAGAUACCCUAGUAGUC